rnacentral:rRNA from 1 species
UGGCGUCGUCGUCAGCUCGUGUCGUGAGAUGUUGGGUUAAGUCCCGUAACGAGCGCAACCCCUGCAUUUUAGUUGCCAUCGGUACGGCCGGGCACUCUAGAUGGACUGCCGGCGACAAGCCGGAGGAAGGUGGGGAUGACGUCAAGUCAUCAUGGCCCUUAUGUCCAGGGCGACACACGUGCUACAAUGGCCGGCACAGCGGGAAGCGAAUGGGCGACCAUGAGCGGAUCCCCAUAAAAGCCGGUCCCAGUUCGGAUUGCAGUCUGCAACUCGACUGCAUGAAGUUGGAAUCGCUAGUAAUCGCGGAUCAGCCAAGCCGCGGUGAAUACGUUCCCGGGCCUU